ensembl:lncRNA
AUGUGGAGGCUGGAGUUUGGGAGGCAGUGUGAGGAGGUGGAGACAUUGUGCAGUCGCUGUGGAGGCUGGAGUUUGGGAGGCAGUGUGAGGAGGUGGAGAUAUUGUGCAAUCCCUUUGGAUGCUGGAGUUUGGGAGGCAGUGUGAGGAGGUGGAGACAUUGUGCAAUCCCUUUGGAUGCUGGAGUUUGGGAGGCAGUGUGAGGAGGUGGAGACAUUGUGCAGUCCCUUUAGAAGCUGGAGUUUGGGAGGCAGUGUGAGGAGGUGGAGACAUUGUGCAGUCCCUUUAGAAGCUGGAGUUUAGGAGGCAGUGUGAGGAGGUGGAGACAUUGUGCAGUCCCUUUAGAAGCUGGAGUUUGGGAGGCAGUGUGAGGAGGUGGAGACAUUGUGCAGUCCCUUUAGAAGCUGGAGUUUGGGAGGCAGUGUGAGGAGGUGGAGAUAUUGUGCAAUCCCUUUGGAUGCUGGAGUUUGGGAGGCAGUGUGAGGAGGUGGAGACAUUGUGCAGUCCCUUUAGAAGCUGGAGUUUGGGAGGCAGUGUGAGGAGGUGGAGAUAUUGUGCAAUCCCUUUGGAUGCUGGAGUUUGGGAGGCAGUGUGAGGAGGUGGAGACAUUGUGCAGUCCCUUUAGAAGCUGGAGUUUGGGAGGCAGUGUGAGGAGGUGGAGACAUUGUGCAGUCUCUUUAGAAGCUGGAGUUUGGGAGGCAGUGUGAGGAGGUGGAGACAUUGUGCAGUCCCUUUAGAAGCUGGAGUUUGGGAGGCAGUGUGAGGAGGUGGAGAUAUUGUGCAAUCCCUUUGGAUGCUGGAGUUUGGGAGGCAGUGUGAGGAGGUGGAGACAUUGUGCAGUCCCUUUAGAAGCUGGAGUUUGGGAGGCAGUGUGAGGAGGUGGAGAUAUUGUGCAAUCCCUUUGGAUGCUGGAGUUUGGGAGGCAGUGUGAGGAGGUGGAGACAUUGUGCAGUCCCUUUAGAAGCUGGAGUUUGGGAGGCAGUGUGAGGAGGUGGAGAUAUUGUGCAAUCCCUUUGGAUGCUGGAGUUUGGGAGGCAGUGUGAGGAGGUGGAGACAUUGUGCAGUCCCUUUAGAAGCUGGAGUUUGGGAGGCAGUGUGAGGAGGUGGAGACAUUGUGCAGUCCCUUUAGAAGCUGGAGUUUGGGAGGCAGUGUGAGGAGGUGGAGACAUUGUGCAGUCCCUUUAGAAGCUGGAGUUUGGGAGGCAGUGUGAGGAGGUGGAGACAUUGUGCAGUCCCUUUAGAAGCUGGAGUUUGGGAGGCAGUGUGAGGAGGUGGAGACAUUGUGCAGUCCCUUUAGAAGCUGGAGUUUGGGAGGCAGUGUGAGGAGGUGGAGACAUUGUGCAGUCCCUUUAGAAGCUGGAGUUUGGGAGGCAGUGUGAGGAUGUGGAAACAUUGUGCACUUCUUGUGGAGGCUAGAUUUUGGAAGGCAUUUUCAGGAGGUGGAGAUUAUGUGCCAUCCUUGUAGAUGCUGGAGUUCGGGAGGCAGUGUGACGAGGGUGGAGGGUUUGUACAGUCGCUGUAGAGGGUGGACCUUGGGAGGCAGUGUGAGCAGGUGGAG